rnacentral:rRNA from 1 species
UACGUAGGUGACAAGCGUUGUCCGGAUUUACUGGGCGUAAAGAGCGCGCAGGCGGUCGAUCAAGUCGAGUGUGAAAGCCCCCGGCUCAACUGGGGAGGGUCAUCCGAUACUGAUCGACUCGAAGGCAGGAGAGGGUAGUGGAAUUCCAGGUGUAGCGGUGAAAUGCGUAGAUAUCUGGAGGAACACCGGUGGCGAAGGCGGCAUCCUGGACCGACACUGACGCUGAGGAGCGAAAGCCAGGGGAGCAAACGGG